CCCAUAUCAGGAGGUGGCAUUGCACCUAUAGUCAGCCAGGAAGGAGCAAGUUUAAAUACACUGUCCCAUAUAUUAUUAAUCAGUUUCCUAGUCCUGGGACUAGAUCAGUUCAGUUAAACAGCUGUUUCCCAUAUCAGGAGGUGGCAUUGCACACGGGCUAGGCCUCUAUACAUGAUGAAGACAAACAGAUUUUUAAUACGAGGCAUUUCUAUGGAAAUAUAAGAAAAACAAAAGUUAAUGUUGGGCACAAUUUAUCCAGAUGUGAAACUCAAAAUACCUUUAGUUAUAGAGCAGGAAGGCAGUGGUAAUCUGACAUGUUUUUGCCACCUAUAUUAAAAGAAUAAGCUUCAGCUUACAGGGCCUCAGGAAAAAAGGUAGUAGCAAUUUUAUUGAGUCCAAGUCAGAAAAGUGGAAGAAAAAUGUGAAAGCAUUAGUUUGGAAAACAUUAGUUUGGAGCAUUAGUUAGGUAAGCUUCAGGACAGCCAUAGUUAAAGGUGCAGUCAACAAGAAAAACUGGUUAUCUCUGUGACACACAAUUUUUAAAAUCUGGUUUAAUUUUUUUGAAACAGGGUCUCACUCUGUCACGCAGGCUGGAGUGCAGUGGUGUGAUCACAGCUCACUGCAGCCACAAAGAAUUCAGGAUUUAGUCCAAAUUGCAGAAAAUAACAAAAACUCAAGAACAGUGGACAAGACUAGAAUCUAACAAUGGGUGUACUAUAGCUUUUGAAACAUAGUUUUUCUCUCUUUAGUCCCCAUUUUUAUUAAAAACAAAUAGUAGUAGGACAAAUGUAAUUGCGAAAUAAGUCUUAGUCUUAUUAUACUUGGCCUGAUUAUUUGUAUAACGUACAGCAAGAAUAAUUAUUUGCCAUAUAGGCUCUUUAAAAUUGGCUUUGCUGGUCAGGCAUGGUGGCUUACACCUGUAAUCCCAGCACUUUGGGAGGCCAAGGUGGGAGAAACACUUGAGCCCAGGAGUUCAAGACCAGCCUGGGCAACAUAGCGAGAUCCCCGUCUCUACAAAAAUUAGCCAGGUGUGGUGACGCGUGCCUGUAGUCUCAGCUACUUGGGAGGCUGAGGUGGGAGAAUCGCCUGAGCCUGGAUGACAGAGCAAGGCCAUGGCCCAAAAAUAAAUAAAUAAAUAAAAACAAAAUUAGCUUUGCUGAAAUUUCAUUCCCUAAGGAAUCUCACCUUAUACUUUUUAAAGCCUUUAGCCCAGCCAUGGAUUUAUCUAUGCCUGCAAAUACCUGUAUGAGUUGGGAGAAUUUUCCUCCUCUCAAGGUCCCAAGAUAAUUUGGGCUUCUGGGCCUGUCAGAAAGUGACAUUCUUUACUUAUGACAAGUCAGGAACCCUGUACAGAGACUGCAUAUACAAGGUAUAAGCCCAGUUUUCUUUUUUUCUUUUUUUUUUUUUAUUGAUCAUUCUUGGGUGUUUCUCGCGGAGGGGGAUUUGGC
rnacentral:lncRNA from 1 species